GUAAUCUGUCCAGGAUUUUGGUGCCAGCCCUUGUUUAAGAGUUUCAUGCAGGAUAUUUAUCCACAGCUCUCCAGCUGAAACGUCCACAUAAGGCUUGAGCUUGACCUUGGAUGGAAUGUCCAUGGCCUCUAGCUGCAACCGUCAAGUCGGACGCAUAUCCCAUACUGAAAAUAUGGUUUAUCGUGUUCGAAAUAUCGGACACGGAUUUUGGAUGUAGAACAGCUAAUGGUGUUUGCAGUUCAUAAGAGGAUAUAUCAGAGGAACCAAAAUGAGGAGGAAUUGUUGGGGCUGCAAAAAGGUGGUUGGUGCUGUCAGAGUGAAUGGCGGGCUGGCCCCUACUCUGUUUCAUGCUUCUUCAAGCUGAGUGUCUGAGGAGUCAGAUAUCUUGGACCCACUUCAUUUUUUCUUCAUAAGAGUAUAGAUUGUGCUUUGACAGCUCUUACCAACGAGCUAUAUAGUUCUUUCUAUAUAAUUUUCAUGAAUUUCUUGUUCAUAUUUAGCUUUGUAUAUGUUCGUUUGUCGAUUUUUAUCGUUAUGGUAUAGAUAUGAGAUCAAACCAUCAAAAGCUUAAAAGGGUAAGCACAAUCUAGAUUACUUACUACAAAUUUUGGUCGAAACCAUCGUAAGGGGCUCUCGAGCCGAUCCUUGUAAGGUCAAAGACUCAAUACAUAUGCACGUGAACUAGCUCAUUAGUAGUUCUUAGAAAAAGUAAAUAGAAUAAGCAUGAUAGCUAUGUUGAAGGUAGACAAAUAAACAUAUUUCAAAGGGGAAAUAAAAAUCGAACGUAGAAACCGUCGAUUCUUGUACGUCUGUUCUUAAAUCUCUUCAUUCACUGUGUUCUUGAUUAUAAAUUUCAAAAGGCUGUUCAAACAGUGAUGGUCAAUAUUUUGUUAUUCUCUCAAUUGCAUUGAACUGCAUCUAGAUUUUGAUGUAUGUUUCUCUUUGAUUCAGGGACUAAAAGUUGUUUUUUUUCCUUUCUAGGUGCUGAAGAAGAAGUGUCUGAAAAGGAAAGAUGAAAGAUAUAUGUAGAUGGAAUGAGUGCAGAGCAGCAGCAGCAAAGAAAGCUCAAUUUACUGCAUGUGAUAAUUCCUUUGCUUUUUUGUGGACUUAAAAGGUAUGUGGCUUCAUCAUCAAACUUCUAAUGGAGGGUAAGAGUGAGAGAGAGAGAGAGAGAGAAGAUUGGGAAGGGGUGGGGCCAUAGACAUGUGAUCUGCAUAAGGAGGGUAGUGGCCCAAGAAAAGGAAGGGAUUGAAAAGAGGAGGAGGAGGAGGAGGAGGAGGAGGCUUAGAUAAAGAAUGUUGAGGGUAUGUUAAUAUCAGGAUUAUAAAAUUGAUUCCAUUGUUUGAUUGGAUAGCAUUGAUUCUAAUUUCAGUAUCACUUGCC